rnacentral:tRNA from 1 species
GAGCUUGCCCGGUAGGGGUCAGUACUGCUAAUUCUUAACCCCCAUGGUUCAACUCCAUGGCCCGCUCA